CAAUGAGAAGGUAGCUAAGACAUGCAUAGAAGGCUGGUAACAAAUGCUAGAGAUGAACUUGCAUAAAGUUUUCAUUGGCACUUUUGAUGUCACCAAUAUUUUCCAGCUGUGACAUCACAAUAGAAGAUAUGUAGUAUUUAGGAGAGAUCAAGGUGUUUCUGGAUCAUGGAAUACAUUUAUUUUCAAGUAGGCAAGAUGUUUCCAAGUUGGUCUCCAAAGUGGUUGUACCAAUUUACAUUUUAACUAACAAUAGCUCCUCCCUCCUCUCUUUGCCUCCUCACUGCCAUGACAUGAGCAGCUUUCCACUGCCAGAGCCUUUCACCAUGCUGUUUCUACCUUAAAGUCAGCCAACCAGAGUUCUCAACCUAUUUUGGUAUCAAGGUUAUACUAACUACAGCCUAGGCAUGGUGGAGCCUGCCCAUAAUACCAAUACUCUUGGGGGGCAAUGUAAGAAGAUCUCAAGUUCCAGCCCAGCCUGGGAAUCUUAACACCUUAACAAGACCCUAUUUCAAUUUUUAAAAAAAAUUUUUUUUAAAGACUGGAGAUAUAGCUCCCCAGUACCACAAAGAAAGAGAUUAUACUAAUUUCAUAAAAUAAGCUCAGUAACCUUUACUCCUUUUCUGUUUUCUGAAAUAUUACUAAGUGGGAUCAUUUGUUCAAUGAAAUUUGGUAAAACUCACCUGUAAAACCAAUUGGCCUUGUUUCUUUGACAAAGGAUAGCAGAAAG
rnacentral:lncRNA from 1 species